rnacentral:tRNA from 1 species
GGUUCCAUGGUGUAGUGGUUAGCACUUUGGACUUUGAAUCCAGUGACCUGAGUUCAACUCCCAGUGGGACCU